CUUGUACUCCCUCCAUCCGAAAAUACUUGUCAUUGAAAUGGAUGUAUAUAGAUGUAUUUUAGUUCUAGACACAUCCAUUUUGAUGACAAGUAAUUCCGUACGGAGGGAGUACUUG
rnacentral:pre_miRNA from 1 species